rnacentral:rRNA from 1 species
UGGGGAAUUUUGGACAAUGGGCGAAAGCCUGAUCCAGCAAUGCCGCGUGUGUGAAGAAGGCCUUCGGGUUGUAAAGCACUUUUGUCCGGAAAGAAAUCCUUGGCUCUAAUACAGUCGGGGGAUGACGGUACCGGAAGAAUAAGCACCGGCUAACUACGUGCCAGCAGCCGCGGUAAUACGUAGGGUGCAAGCGUUAAUCGGAAUUACUGGGCGUAAAGCGUGCGCAGGCGGUUUGCUAAGACCGAUGUGAAAUCCCCGGGCUCAACCUGGGAACUGCAUUGGUGACUGGCAGGCUAGAGUAUGGCAGAGGGGGGUAGAAUUCCACGUGUAGCAGUGAAAUGCGUAGAGAUGUGGAGGAAUACCGAUGGCGAAGGCAGCCCCCUGGGCCAAUACUGACGCUCAUGCACGAAAGCGUGGGGAGCAAAACAGGAUUAGAUACCCCUGGUAGUCCACGCCCUAAAACGAUGUCAACUAGUUGUUGGGGGAUUCAUUUCCUUAGUAACGUAGCUAACGCGUGAAGUUGACCGCCUGGGGAGUACGGUCGCAAGAUUAAAACUCAAAUGAAUUGACGGGGUCAUAGCUGUUUCCU